AUGCUCAACCGAGGGAGCCCCCCAGGCGCCCCAAAAUCUGGCAAGAUUUUUAUCCGCAGUGUUGUUCAAACUCGGUAUCUGGUGGCGUCCCUAACGCUGUUUUCCUUUCCUCUCUCGGUUACCCAGGACGAAGGCGGAGGGGUGGGCCUUCUUUCCCCUUCCCCCGUGGAUGCCCCCACGUGCUCUCGUCUGCCGCAGAGCCCACGCAGGUGCUUCCCCGCGGGCAAUGGCGCGCACCUUGGGGGGUCCUGGUGCGGCACAAGCCAGACCGUCUCUCGGCCCCCGCGGCACACAGGGCCCUCCUCCGCCAGGGGCCCCACCACCGUCCCUGAGGGGUGUGCUCUCCUCCCACGUGGGAGCCCCCUCUGCCUCUGGUGCCGAGGCCCCGGCCCCAGGCCUGCACCGGCUCAGGCGUCCCCGCCGCCCCCCGCCCCAGCUCCCCGGAAAGCCAGGCUGCGGCCCCGACCGGCUGUGCCCUCGGCUCCUGCCGCGAGGCCGCCCCCCGGCUCGCCUCACACGGGAGGGGCGUCCGUCUUCAGACUGUGGCCCGCGGACGGACCCCGUCUCAGGUGGGGCCCUGCCCCGCGGCCUCCCCUCCCUCCCGCCGCGACCCCGCCGCGCAAGGCCUCUGGGGCUCAUGGGCUCACGGAAGUGAAACUGUCCGUUGGCCGCCACCUGCUACUGGCGGCUCUCGCGGGGCCCCGGGGGCGGGAGUGCCCGCGGCUGCUGCGAGUGCGGCUGGGGGUGGGCCGGCGGCCGCCAGGCCUCCACCGGGGGCGGGUGCAGGCUCCGGCGCGGGCGGGGCGGCGAGAGCCACUGGUCGCUACUCACUGCGUCCGCCCGUGGCUGCGCUGGAGCCGGUGGGAAGGCUCCGUGGUGGCGAUGAGUCUCGUUUUUACACUUCCACUCGCAGCGACGGCAGCGCCUCGUGUUUGCGCAGCGCUUCUGGGGGACGGGCACCAUCUACGACCUGUCCACGUGCCAACUCCGUCUGUGCUCCCAGCAGUGUCACAGCCCGGGGGCCUCACCGGGCCCGUCUUACGGCCACGGACGCUGAGGCUGAGGAGGGGGCUUGCGGCCCGGCUGGCCGCACCACCCGGCUGCGGGGGGUCUCCCGUGGGCCUCCGUGGGCGUUUCCGGCAGGAGACGGGGAGCCCACGGGCCCACCUCGGUCCCUGA
rnacentral:lncRNA from 1 species